rnacentral:lncRNA from 1 species
AAAUUCUCAAGCACAAUUGAUAAUGCUGCAAAACUACACAUUUGUGUUUCUUUCAGCUGAAGUUAAUAUAAAUGUCUGCUGAGUUAUUUUAUUCUUUUGGUUGAAUAUAGUACUGACGAGAAUGGAACUAUAUGAAAGUAUCAUAGGUAUCAUUGAUGAGAAAAUAAAAAAAACGGUGAAGAGCAUCAGGACAUGAACUGCUCGCGAUCGUUGUGCGCCUGCGAAGAUCCCCUCCUCGAUCAGCUUUGGCCAUCAUGGUCAAUUCAGAUGACGACAAAUAAGAAAAGAAACUAAAAAACGAAAACAGGCAGAUCUAACUAUUUUUGCUGCUUUCUCUCGGAUGUCAUCCUGCAUGGAAGAUAUGUAAUCUGCAGAAGAAUCGACACGACAUCAGAUUUAUAUCGCCCAUCUGCUUGUACUCUCUUCACAGAUAAAGAGCCAACAGUUAAGCCUCGCACAACACAAGAGAAGAGGAAGUCUAUUGGAAAUAGAAUGAAAAAGCAACAGAAAAGAGCACGAAUAGAGGGUGCCACCCCAAACCUAGGAGACUAUACCUCGUGAUAGGCGUAGCAGUGUCGAUGCAGAUCUCGCAGAUCUGGUCCAACCUACCGCGUGCAUGGCGAACAUGGCUUGGUCCGGCUAGGAUUCAACUCCGGCAGGGGUGGAGGAGACGGGUCUACAACUCCGAGGUGAGAUGUAUGGGGGUAGCGGUGUGGCGGCAUCAGCGAAGAAGGACAUCAAGGUAAGAGGCCAG